GGUGUAAAGACGGUGACGUCAAAGCCGAGCACUACUAAUUGCCCGAAACUUUCUUC
rnacentral:rRNA from 1 species